CGAAGAAUUGUAUUCAUACAUAAGAGAAACAAAUUAAAUAAAUAAAUAUACAUGCGAGCUAGAAGAAGUGAUAAGUUAGGCUUACUGGGUGUAAUCAAUGUUAAUUUUCCCAGCGUUAAGGUCAGCAAUCUGAGAGAAGGCUUCUUGAGAGAGAUCAAUGGUUGCUUGACAUCCCGGGGAUGGGCAUCGAUCAACAAUCUUGACAGUGACGCUACCACCUUUGCAGGGCUGAGGAACACCGGCGUUUGUAGGACCUUGGCAGGUCACCUUGUACAUUCUCCCGCAUGCAGCACCGUUGGCCCAAAUUCUUUUUUGUGUAUUUUUGUUUUGUUUUGUAGUAUCGUUUAAUUACAUAAAGAGUAGCUUCAAAAAUGUUCCAUGCAGUAGCUCGUGAGCAGUAAGCUCUUAUUUUUUAAAAAAAAUAUUCAUGUAAAUUUUUUUUUUUUUUUUUUUAUUAAAAAUUGCUUUUAAGAUUUUGAUGAGUUAUUAGUUACAAAAUAAUAGUUCUGAUAAAAAAAAAAAAGGAGAACCCAUUAAUAAGAUAAAAGGGUUUUGAUUAAGGAAAUAUGGUUUUUUUAUCCUUCGUUGAUUUUUUUAAUUGCUUUGAGUUAUUAUCCAAUAAGGAACAUAGCUAAUAAAAGCAUUAUAUUUUUUAUUUAAAAAAUAAAUUGAUAAGAAAAGGGGGAUUUAUAUUAGAAAAUUACUUUCUUUUCAACGAGAUUCUAUUUACUACUUCUUUUUAAACAAAAUAAGUUUUAUUGCUAUAUAAUUAACUAAAAAGAAUUUUGAGUAGCUUUUUUCGAAAUCAAAUAUCUUUUUUUGUAUAUAUUUUUUCAGCUUACCAUUUUAUACUUUAAUUAUUUUAUUACUUAUUUAUUAAUACACAUAAUUUAUAUUGAAUGCGUGGAUCUACUUUUUAGUUCACAAUUAAGACUUUUCAGUUCACAGCCUGUUUAUUAUUUUAUUUUAUUUUUGCAUUAAAGAUUAACUUUUGAUUUAACCCAGGGCUUGCAUGUAGGGAAUAACUUUAUGAAAACAUUUGAUUCAACUAAAACACCUUUAAAUUAAAAUUUUAUAUCGACUCUAAAACGGCUAAUUAAAUAUAUAAUUAACAGCACUUUUUUUUUUUUUUUAGAGGAUCACUUCUGAGUUUGUUAUAUUGAGUCCUUGAUAUUACCUUGUGAUUGGUAGGGUUAGACGGUGCCUGUUAGUUUCGUCCAUGGAGAGGGGGCGGCUCUAGAGAUUUAAUUUCCUAGCAAAUAUAGGUGUUGGUACUUGGUAGUGCUUUGACUUUGAUUCCUCAGUUGGAAUUCGUUUAUAACUUUACUUCUAUAUAUAUAUAUUGAUUUGUUACAUUAAAAAUAAUUUAAUAAAUUUUUCAAGAAUGCUAAUCUCAGGAUUAGAAUUAAAAUGUUCAUCAUUAAUAUGAACAUGCUUGCUUGAAAGAGACUUGUGGUGCUUAUCCAGUAGAAAAUCACAUAUUAUGAUCGAGUGUUUGAACGAGACAAGAAGAGAGAUAGUAGUAGUCCUCCAGUGUAAUUUUAUUAAUUCUACCAGCAGGAAAAGUAUUAUUUCAGUAAAUUAAUAUCAUAAUAUAUUGGAAAAUGACAGAUUUUCCACAUAUGCUGCUUUUUAUUGCAACAAUAAUAAUAUUAAUUAUUAAUUUCUACUCGCCAACAUCCUGCUGGUAGCUUCAAGUAAUUUCUCUCUUGAUGACUUCAAACUCUGUAAAUCAAAACGAAGAAUUGUAUUCAUACACAAGAGAAACAAAUUAAAUAAAUAAAUAUACAUGAUAGCUAGAAGAAGUGAUAAGUUAGGCUUACUGGGUGUAAUCAAUGUUAAUUUUUCCAGCGUUAAGGUCAGCAAUCUGAGAGAAGGCUUCUUGAGAGAGAUCAAUGGUUGCUUGACAUCCGGGGGAUGGGCACCGAUCAACAAUCUUGACAGUGACGCUGCCACCUUUGCAGGGCUGAGGAACACCGGCGUUUGUAGGACCUUGGCAGGUCACCUUGUACAUUCUCCCGCAUGCAGCACCGUUGGCCCAAAUUCCAUCGCUUGCAGCCGCUAUCAUCACACCCUGAUCUUGGUAUCCAUAGCAUGCAGA
rnacentral:lncRNA from 1 species